UGACCAAUCAAGCACGGCUUGUGUGUUGGGUGUGGUCCCCCCGGGGACCUGCCCGAAAGGCAGCGGCGACGUCCGUCUGGUCCUCGAGCGUAUGGGGCUUUGUCACUCGCUCGGGAAGGACCUGCGGGGGUUGGUCACCACCAUAUUUUACCAC
rnacentral:misc_RNA from 1 species